UACGUAGGGUGCGAGCGUUGUCCGGAAUUAUUGGGCGUAAAGGGCUCGUAGGCGGUUUGUCGCGUCGGGAGUGAAAACCAGGUGCUUAACACCUGGCUUGCUUUCGAUACGGGCAGACUAGAGGUAUUCAGGGGAGAACGGAAUUCCUGGUGUAGCGGUGAAAUGCGCAGAUAUCAGGAGGAACACCAGUGGCGAAGGCGGUCUGCUGGGAACUGACCUGACGCUGAGGAGCGAAAGCGUGGGGAGCGAACAGG
rnacentral:rRNA from 1 species